AAAUUGAAGAGUUUGAUCAUGGCUCAGAUUGAACGCUGGCGGCAGGCCUAACACAUGCAAGUCGAACGGUAACAGGAAGCAGCUUGCUGCUUUGCUGACGAGUGGCGGACGGGUGAGUAAUGUCUGGGAAACUGCCUGAUGGAGGGGGAUAACUACUGGAAACGGUGGCUAAUACCGCAUAACGUCGCAAGACCAAAGAGGGGGACCUUCGGGCCUCUUGCCAUCAGAUGUGCCCAGAUGGGAUUAGCUUGUUGGUGAGGUAACGGCUCACCAAGGCGACGAUCCCUAGCUGGUCUGAGAGGAUGACCAGCCACACUGGAACUGAGACACGGUCCAGACUCCUACGGGAGGCAG
rnacentral:rRNA from 1 species